UGGGGUGUGACUCACUGGUAGAGCACUUGCUUGGCGUGCACAAAGCCCUGGGUUCAACCCCAGAACCUCAA
rnacentral:tRNA from 1 species